rnacentral:rRNA from 1 species
CCUACGGGGGGCAGCAGUGAGGAAUAUUGGUCAAUGGGCGCGAGCCUGAACCAGCCAAGUCGCGUGAGGGAAGACUGUCCUAUGGAUUGUAAACCUCUUUUGUCGGGGAGUAAAAGUCGCCACGCGUGGCGUUUUGAGAGUACCCGAAGAAUAAGCAUCGGCUAACUCCGUGCCAGCAGCCGCGGUAAUACGGAGGAUGCGAGCGUUAUCCGGAUUUAUUGGGUUUAAAGGGUGCGUAGGCGGAAGUUCAAGUCAGCGGUAAAAUUGUGUGGCUCAACCUCUGCGAGCCGUUGAAACUGGUUUUCUGGGGUGGGGGAGAGGUAUGCGGAAUGCGUGGUGUAGCGGUGAAAGGCAUAGA